ACGGAGGGUGCAAGCGUUAUUCGGAAUUACUGGGCGUAAAGCGCGUGCAGGCGGGCGUGCAAGUCUGAUGUGAAAGCCCCGGGCUUAACCUGGGAAGUGCCUUGGAAACGGUUCGUCUUGAGUUCUGGAGAGGAUAGGGGAAUUCCCGGUGUAGAGGUGAAAUUCGUAGAGAUCGGGAGGAAUACCAGUGGCGAAGGCGCCCAUCUGGACAGUAACUGACGCUGAGACGCGAAAGCGUGGGGAGCAAACAG
rnacentral:rRNA from 1 species